rnacentral:lncRNA from 1 species
CAACACAUGAGUAUAUAGAACUCGAAUCACACUGGAUAUAUUUAUAAAUCAAAGCAUUAGUUAAAGCAGCCACUAAUGGGCAUGAAUUUAGUACAAAAGCUUUUAGUCAAUUCUAUCUUUCAUUGAAACACGACUAAAAGCCAUAACCUUUUAAUACGUAACCCACACUUUGAAACUUACAGAAACAUUAUGGAAUUCAAUUCCAAGAGAGAAAGUUUAGCCAAUAUACCUCAAUCAAGCUUCUUUAGACUAUACAAUUAUCCGAAAUCCUUAGCAACCUCAAUCUAUUUUAGCAAUAUACAAAUUGAACCCAAAAUUAGGAAAACGUUCAUGGUUCUGAUUCACUUUUUAUUUUUCCCACACUCUUUAUCACAUGCAUGCAAGAUGAACCACCCUCAUACCCAUGAAGUAUCACACUAAUACCCCAUUAUAGCUAUGUUUGAAAUUAAGAGCUGGGGUGAUGAAGCCUUACCUCUUAGGGUGAAGAAUUUUAGUGCUCUACUUGAAUAUUUCCAAGGCUUUGAGUGAUGAUGGAAGAUCAAUUUGAUGAAAAAUGAGACCCUCCCUCUUGAACCCUCUCUCUCUCACUCUAGAAACAUCUGAAAAUGAGCUCAAAAUAGACCUAAGGGGUAUUUUAACGGAAUAAAGGUCAGGUUUUAAAUUAAGAAAAUGGGUGCCCUGACACAAGUCUACGGUCACAUAUGCGACCGCAUAAUGGUUAUGCGGUCCGCAAAGUGACCGCAGAAAUGGCCCUCAAGGGCCUGAACUUACGGCCCAGGCAUGCGACCAGUAUGCGGUCCACAUACUCGUUCUGCGGUCGCAUAAUGCACCGCAGAACUCCCUCCGCAAAAACUCAAGAGGGAUUAUGCGAUCGAUAUGAGGUUUGCAUAUCGAUUAUGCGGUCGCAUAAUCGACCGCAAAACUGACCUCAAGUUGGCAAAACUUACUGCUUCACUCUGCGGCCAUUAUGCUGUCCGCAGAAUGAUUAUGCGGCCGCAUAAUGGGCCGCAUAAACGCGCUUUUCGGCCAAAAAUUUUCCUUUACUUUUCGGUGCAUUGUUCAACCCAAAAAGUCCGAACCACGGCAAGCUACGGCACCACGAAAGCCUACUCCUGCACCACAAAACCUUUAAUUCACUUGCGAAUAUUACUGGGCUUUACACUAAAAUACUUCAAAAUUUUUCGGUGUGUUACAUUCUCCCCCGCUUAGGAUCAUUCGUCCUCGAAUGAGGGUAAAAAUCCAUCAUUGGCAUUCAAUGUGGUUCAACUGUUGGUUCACACACACUAGUAGUUUCAAAAUUUGGCUAACUCCCUAAAUUUCAAAAACAUUUCACCAGAGUCUCCCCUGUAACUAGGCCUAUCCACCUGCCAGAGUAACACCAAAACAAUUCCUAACAACACAUCUGCAACUUGACACAACAUCACCAUGUAUAACAGCGUCACUAAUCUAAUCAUUACCGGCAUUAUACUAUCAAGAGUGGUAUCUGGACAUGAGCUGCACAUAUUUAAAUCAUAACGCACAAAAGUACCUUUGAAAUCACAAUCAUUUAACUAUACAGUCAAGUGGGAACAUUUUAUUUCCUUAACACUUUUCCCCUCCAUGUGGUCUCCUCAACUUACAGACUUCGCCAUAACACAUUAAUGGAGACAAUCUCAACUCCCGGACUUUUCUAACAAGGAUAACAAAUAGGUUCUCCUCACAAUCCUAUUUUCUCUUAUCUUCACCUUAUUAGACAUAGACACAUGAAACACCGGGUACACGGAGAACAAUAAUAGGGAAACAUCAUACUCAUAGUUUAGCCUAUUUCCUUCCAAAAUUUCAUAAGGCCUAAUGUGAAUUCACAUACUUUACCUUUAUUGACAAUUCACAUAGCAUCCUCAUGUAGAAAAUAUUUAGAAUAACCCAUUCACUUUUUUCAAUUCUAAAUCUCCAUGCCGAACACCCAAACUAAACCUUUGGCAACCUCAAACAAUUUCUCUAAGAUGUGCUAGCUUGACUAUGACCAUAAAAUUUCCUAUCCCAUUUAUUUUAUCACGGGAUGAUGCUUCUUGUUUGACAUGCCUGAACCUACAAUACUCGAUAGAUUUGCUAAAAACAGGAACAACGAGGUUUGAGAUUUUGCUGGAAAUAUUCAAGAAUCAAUCAACGUGCUCAACACGGCAUUUCAGGAGGUUAUAUCCUAAGAGACAUGAAGGUCACUACCAAUAGCGCUGACAUGGUGGUUCGUUGUGGUGACACCAUCGGUUCAACAAAUGAGUCAUAGAGUUGCCAAGUAGGCAUACUAAUGUAGGGGUCAGGUUCAUAAUUAGGAGAUUUAAAUAAAUGAGUCAUUUUAGACAUGUGACAUAUGGGAGGCAUGGUCUGAAGGAUCAAGACAUUAGCGUCAGUUAUUCUUGGAAUACUAUGAGCCAGGAAAAACGACAACAACAGUUGUUUCAUUCCAUACGUGCCUUGUUUGGCAAUAGUAGGCCUCAAAGAGAGAUAGCACUUAUGUGACACCAGUCGGCUCUUGGAAUGUAUGGAAAAUUAGUUUAACUCGAAAUGAGAAUAUUCUAGCACCCUGAAUAUGAUAUGGGUUUCAAGAUACACAAAGUUGCAUUGCACUCUUAACAGUAACUAGCACAAGGAAUCUAUGCCACAAGGUUACGAGGAUGAAAAGAAGUUGAACACUUGUGAGAGAACCCUGGUGUAACUGCUCAAACUCUGCGCGCCACGCAUCUCUAAGACUCUGAGGAACAUAUUCCCUUAAGAACAUAUCUGAAAAUUGAGUCCAAGUGAGUGAAGAUACCUCAGUCGGACUAUCCAACUCGUAUGCCCACCACCACUGGUAGGCCUCUCCUCUAAUCUAGAAUGCCGUGAAAGAAACCCCACUAGAAUCCAUAAUACCCAUAGUACGGAGGAUGCAGUGACAUUCUUCAAGAAAACCCUGAGCAUCCUCUGAAGCCAAACCGCUGAAAGUGGGAGGGUGGCACUUCUUGUACCUCUCGAUCCUGAGUUGUUCCCCCUCCGAAACUGAUGUCCUAACCCCGGGCCGAAUUUAUUGAGAUAUUUAUGUAUUUAUACUGAGACAAAAUAGAUAUCCACUGGAAUCGAUUCCCAUAUUUAAGUAUACUCAUAAAAUAUAAUACUACACAUGCAUUUGCUGGAAUUUAAUGCAACACACACCUUGUGCCUUUCUAAAUGGACAGCCUGCAGGUAAAUAAAUCGACUAAUGACUAACAGAAAAGAACUUAGUUUGCACAGCAGUGGUCGUUGCACAGCAGCGCUGUUGUUUUAAAACAGCAUAAUCUUCAUUAUGAAACACGAGGAAUGAUUUAACCAAAAUACUACAACAUACUAAACCAACAUACUAAACCAACAUACUGCAACAUACUAAACCAACAUACAUUAACUUCAUCAUCCCUAUAACUAAACCAAAAUACUACACCAACAUAUUUAAACAACAUACAUUCACUCCCACAGCUUAACCUUUUCCAAUAUUUGAUCCUAUGUGAGAGGACUAGAGAUACGACGAGUUUGUCUUUCAAUUCAAUAUGCUCAUCAUAAGGCUGCUCAACUUUCAAUCUUACACAAGUGGAAUCAUGUAACUAGGACAUCUUAAUGUUGGAUGAAAUCAUGUAUUAGUUAGAGAUAAUGAAUACUUUGCCGCGAGCUACACAUGUUGUUGCCAUAAUAACUCUCAAGUUGCCAUAUCAGGCCAAUUCACGGGCAACCACAAUACUGGGAACAAGGUGAGUUACUUACUGAAGCAUGAUCUAGGUGGACAUGAAAGUCAUACUGAGAUGGGUAAACAACAAGACCUCCCUGUGACUAAUUUGUGAUAAAUCAAAGUUGCUCAGAAACUUUAUGCGGAUAAGUGGCCCCUUUCAAUUGGCAUGUACGCACAUGAUAGGUGCUAAGAUAUACUCUCAUGUUACUAGACAAUGAAAAGGAUUCAUGAAACUAUUCAUAAAGGAGUAGAAUAAUUGUUCCAACCAUAGAGGUCACAUAUACCGGAGAGGAAAACAGUGACUCAAGAAGGAUCUCAAUACUAGGUUGCUUUCCAUUGGAUAUGAUACCGCAUAGGUAAAUAUUAUGGUGAUGCAUGUAUAGGCACAAAUGAGCAGAUGUUAUCCAUUUGAAUCAAAAGGUUCUGUACGAAAUUCAUCAGGUAUUGUCCCUUGUUGAGAAUUUAGGGAAGCAAUGGGAAGUAUUAAUCUAGGGCUAUAACGUAAUUCAAGGAACCCAUUAUAGAACUCAAUUUCUCAAGAGGUUGUAAAUAUAAGGAAUUGUGAUAAAGAGGCUUCACGAAUACUGUGCCUCAUUCUAAGAGUAGAUACAAAGAACGACUCAUAAAGUUGUUUCGAUUCUAUCCCAACUUCCAUAGUAACAUAAGAUGUGACAUAUGACAAAGUGGAACCGGGAUCAAUAAGAACAUACACAUCAUGCGAUCGGACAAUCAAUAUACCUGUAACCGUAUCUGGAGAAGCCUCAAACUUUUGAUGUCUCCUCAUAGCAUAAAACCGGUUGGGCCCUCCCGAGCUCUGAAUACCACCCCUAGCUAUUCCACGCCCUACAGGCGUUAUAGUGCCUCUAGCUGGGGGAGGCAUUGUGGAUGUAGUAGCUACAGAACUGGCUGGCAGUGCCAUACCCUUGCCCAUGCUCUGGCGAGACAAAUAACAAUCUCUUUGAAAGUGGCACGUCAUACCACACUUGUAGCAUACCUUUGUACCAUAGUCACACACUCCCGGAUGGCAUCUCCCACACUUCACACAAUGGGGAUGAGAUCUGCUAAAUUGACUCGUCUCACUGACCUAAUAUUUACCCUUUUUGCAUAUAUCAUAAGCAUACCCCUUAUCCUUCCUCCAAGCUUCCAAUGCGGGAUUAAUAAUUCCAGCACCGGAUUGCUGUGUGGGCCUUUGCAAUUGCCCAAAGAUACAACCUCUAAUGCAUUGCUGAGCAUACUCACAACACGACGCCAAAUGUUCCUCCCCGCUUGACAGACAUAACGGGAUGGGUGUACCCAACCCAGGGCAUUUGUUCUUCUUGUGCCCCCUCUUUCCACAGCCAUAACAUAUUUCAAGUGUCAUCCAACAUGUUCCCAAGUGUCGCUUCUUGCAAAUCACACAAUAUGGUUCAUUAGCAGCAACAACCCUCUUUUGUUUCUUAGAUUCUCUCACCACACGAUCCGGUGGUGCGGUGACAGUGGUGGGAAUAAGGACACUUCCCUUAGCAACAAGUACUUCUAACCCCUCCACGGCUCGACGCAUUCUCCCAACGAACUCUUGUGUAAUCUCCCCCAGAUUCAAUGGAGCGGUCAUUCCCUCCUUGUUGUUUUGAACUCGUGGAUUACUCAUCUGAAAAAUAUCAUGAGACAUAACGAGGAAAUUAGCUUCCUAUCUUGAGCUUUAUCACAUGAUCUGGAGUAUCAAAAAAGUGUGAAAUUCCUAAAUGUCCAAGUAGCCUCCUCAUUAUAGAUGUGGUCGACAAGACACCGAUAAGAAGGACUCUACUAGACACGGCUCCGAGACAUCCUAGGGCACUUUAAAUCCUUAGGCUUUGAUACCAAGUUUGCCACGCCCCAAACUCAGGGAGCGCGACCGGCGCUCAACCGAGAGAACCCGGCCAAGCCUAUUAGACUUACUUCUACCCAAACUCAUCCAUGAAUAAAGAGGAGAUGUACACCAUUAAUCAAUCACUGGAAAGAUUUUAUUGACAACUCCCUUUUCUUUCCCAUUAGUAGCUCCAUUCAUAAUUUCCAAAAUAUUACGAGUUUAUAGAAUUAAUAAAAAAACAUAAUUUCUAAGUACCAACAUUCCUAGUUCAAUUCCAAACAUCAACCAUAACCCACAACCUGUCUACGGAGCCUCUAAGUACAAUAGAAGAGUAAUAUGGAAAUGCCGACAACAAGGCCCCGGCUAUACCUCAAAACACUGUACAUGAGAAACAAAAGAUACGUGACCCCGAAAUGAAGUGGGGCUCACCAAAUCAGCUGAAAAGAGUGUACUGCUAUCACUGAUCAAUGACGCCUGCUGAAGAACCACCUGCAUCAAUUAAAGAUGCAGCGCCCCCGGUAAAAAGGGACGUUAGUACUGUCGAAUAGCACUAGUAUGUAUAGCUAAAAAUCCUCUUUCAAAAUAGAAUGCCCAUAUAAGAAAAGGCAACACAUAGAAAUAGCAAGUCACAAUCAACAAUAUCCAAACAUCCAAUUAAAACAUAAUAAUUUUCAAAAUACGAACUUUAUAUAUAAUUUUGGUUGGGAGAUCAUUAGCACCGAUAUACCACCGUCUUUGUUAGCACAGAUUCCGAUCACGCCCGAUUGGCUAGGACAUCUCCCCACGAACAAUGUGGUUCGACAUGUGAUACGAAAGAAAGUUGUUACCAAGAGUAGUACCACCAUAUGCGCAAUAUGGCGUCUAAUCUCCACCCGAUCAGCUAGGCUGCCUUCCCAUAUAUGCCGUGCGGGUUGACUUUUUCCAAUCCACAAAGGUUCCAGUUUCAUCCCAAUUAAGGGGAAUAAUAUCACAAUCCACCCCUACACCGGCACGUGUAGUUUCAGGUGUGGGCCUUAAGACCCACCCUUCCUCGGUAUUGCUAUUGAUGCUCCCAAAAAUAGUUUUGAUUUGAUUUGCAAACAGAAAUAUCAUAAAUACAAUUGUACUCACCUCAACAUCUUUCACAUUGUAUGAAUUGUCAUUAGUAUUUCUAGUCAUUCACAACGACUAUAUUUCCUUGGCUCGUUAGGCCAUUCACAAGAUUCUUUAUUCCUGGCACGAUGGCCGUAUUUCAUAUUCNNNNNNNNNNNNNNNNNNNNNNNNNNNNNNNNNNNNNNNNNNUUUAAACAAUUCUAUCUUUCAUUGAAACACGACUAAAAGCCAUAACCUUUUAAUACGUAACCCACACUUUGAAACAUACAGAAAUAUUAUGGAAUUCAAUUCCAAGAGAGAAAGUUUAGCCAACAUACCUCAAUCGCGCUUCUUUAGACUAAACAAUUAUCCGGAACCCUUAGC